rnacentral:rRNA from 1 species
UACGUAGGUGGCAAGCGUUGUCCGGAAUUAUUGGGCGUAAAGCGCGCGCAGGCGGCCUCCUAAGUCCGAUGUGAAAGCCCACGGCUCAACCGUGGAGGGUCAUUGGAAACUGGGGGACUUGAGUGCAGGAGAGAAGAGUGGAAUUCCACGUGUAGCGGUGAAAUGCGUAGAGAUGUGGAGGAACACCAGUGGCGAAGGCGACUCUUUGGCCUGUAACUGACGCUGAGGCGCGACAGCGUGGGGAGCAAACAGG